rnacentral:lncRNA from 1 species
GUGGGGCAUGGAGGUUUCUCAUGGUAAAGGUGUGGCGUAAAGGAUUUAUAUCAUAUGGGGUGUUUCAAGUUGGUUAAGUCCUAUUCCAAAUAGGAUUCAAGAUCUUGUUCCAACUCUAACUAACCCUUCAAUCCAAUCCUAAUCAAUUUAGAAAUUAGUUAUAACAAACUAACUAAUCGAAUCCUAGUCCAAUUAUGAAACCAAUUAGGCCCCAAUCCAAUUAAAAAUUAGUUAGAUAAAAACUCCAUUGAUCCAGGG